UUAGAUACCCCGGUAGUCCUGGCCGUAAACGAUGGGUACUAGGUGUAGGAGGUAUCGACCCCUUCUGUGCCGGAGUUAACGCAAUAAGUACCCCGCCUGGGGAGUACGACCGCAAGGUUGAAACUCAAAGGAAUUGACGGGGGCCCGCACAAGCGGUGGAGUAUGUGGUUUAAUUCGACGCAACGCGAAGAACCUUACCAGGUCUUGACAUUGAAGGACAGAACCAGAGAUGGUUCCUCUUCUUCGGAAGCCAGAAAACAGGUGGUGCACGGUUGUCGUCAGCUCGUGUCGUGAGAUGUUGGGUUAAGUCCCGCAACGAGCGCAACCCCUAUCUUAUGUUGCCAGCACUUCGGGUGGGAACUCAUGAGAGACUGCCGCAGACAAUGCGGAGGAAGGCGGGGAUGACGUCAAAUCAUCAUGCCCCUUAUGACCUGGGCUACACACGUACUACAAUGGGAGUUAAUAGACGGAAGCGAGAUCGCGAGAUGGAGCAAACCCGAGAAACACUCUCUCAGUUCGGAUCGUAGGCUGCAACUCGCCUACGUGAAGUCGGAAUCGCUAGUAAUCGCAGGUCAGCAUACUGCGGUGAAUACGUUCCCGGGCCUUGUACACACC
rnacentral:rRNA from 1 species